CGGCACCCGGUGCCCCGGUGGAACCCUACAUCCCUGUCAAGGAUGUGCGGUUCGUCUACUAGCGCCGACCUCGCGCUGCUCCAGCACCCGCCUCCACGGCGGCUCCUCCGCCUGCCGCUGCGCCUCCCCCACAGGGGCACGUUGCUCCAGCGGCCGCCGCCACAGCUGCUACUCCUCCGACUGCUGCUAUGCCUCUCUCGAAGGGGGCAGUGGCAGUCCCUCCGGUCAUGAAUCAACAUUUGAUGACCACCCGGGCUAAGGAAGGGUUUCGCUUUCCUACGCAGCUCCAUGCUUCGCCCCCGUCGCCCAUCCCGAAGACCUUCCGUAGCGCCCUUGCCGACCCCAACUAGCGGGCUGCCAUGGAAGAAGAAUACGCUGCUCUCCUUUAGAACCAGACCUGGGAUCUGGUUCCUCGCCCAGCGCGUGCCAAUGUGGUCUCCGGAAAGUGGGUCUUCAAGCACAAGUUCAAAUCUGACAGUUCUCUUGAGUGCUACAAAGCCCGCUGGGUUCUUCGCGGCUUUACUCAGCGCCCUGGCGUGGAUUUUGGUGAGACUUUCAGUCUUGUGGUGAAGCCUGCUACUGUCUGUACAGUGCUCUCUCUUGCACUCUCUCACAGUUGGCCUAUUCAUCAGUUGGAUGUGAAGAACGCCUUUCUUCACGGCACUCUGUCAGAGGUGGUCUAUUGUGCUCAGCCCUCCGGAUUUGAGGAUUCUCAGCUUGGUCUGGUUUGUCGUCUGAAUCGGUCUCUCUAUGGUCUGAAACAGGCGCCUCGUGCAUGGUACAGUCGGUUUGCUACUCAUUUGCUGUCACUUGGUUUUGUGGAGGCAAAGUCGGACACCUCUCUGUUCAUCUUCCACCGCGGCUCUGAUAUGGCAUAUUUGCUCCUCUAUGUGGAUGAUAUUGUUCUCACAGCGUCCUCUCCUGAAUUACUUCGGCAAAUCAUUGUGGCACUGCAGCAGCAGUUCUUGAUGAAGGAUCUCGGUGAGCUUCAUCAUUUUCUUGGGAUGCAUGUUCAGAAGAGUUCUGGUGGUCUUCUCCUCUCCCAGCGACAGUAUAUGCUUGAUAUCUUGGAUCGUGCCGGGAUGGCCGAGUGCAAACCUUGCAGUACUCCAGCUGACACUAAUCCUAAAGUUUCCUCAGUUGCUGGCGCCCCAGUAAAGGAUCCUUCGGAUUAUCGCAGUCUUGCAGGAGCACUACAGUACCUCACCUUCACCAGGCCAGAUAUUUCUUAUGCUGUAUAGCAAGUCUGCUUGCAUAUGCAUGACCCCCGAGAGCCUCAUCAGGCGGCUCUCAAGCGCAUCCUACGCUAUAUACGCGGCACUCUCUAUAUGGGCCUUCUUAUUCGACCCUCUGCACCGGCUGAGCUGACCGUCUACUCCGAUGCUGAUUGGGCAGGAUGUCCUGACACCCGCAAGUCCACCUCGGGCUAUGCGGUGUUCUUGGGGGAUAAUCUUGUCUCUUGGUCUUCGAAGCGCCAGAACACCAUCUCUCGCUCCAGCGCCGAGGUUGAGUAUCGCGCCGUUGCCAACGCUGUGGCCGAGGCUUCUUGGCUGCGUCAGCUACUUCAGGAGUUGCAUAGUCCUCUGCGCCGGGCCACCUUGGUGUACUGUGACAACAUCAGCGCCAUGUACAUGUCCUCCAACCCUGUUCAGCACCAGCGGACGAAGCAUAUUGAGAUCGACCUUCACUUCGUUCGGGAAAGGGUGGCACUUGGUGACCUUCGCGUUCUGCAUGUACCUACCACUUCGCAGUAUGCCAAUAUCUUCACCAAGGGUCUUCCUUCUUCUGUCUUCACGGAGUUCAGAUCCAGUCUGAACGUCUGCGGUGCCGAUGAUCAGACUAGGGGGGUGUUAGCAGAGGUGUAUUAGGCCUAAUUGGAUUGGACUCUCUGGGCAUGCACCUGGGCCUUGUCAGGCCGGCGCCCACAGCCCAUGCGGUUGUGUGCCCUUGCUGGUUAUGGUAGUUUGCUUGUAUACGACAAGGAUCCCGUGAUGUGUGCUAUUUCUAUAAAUCAUCCUAGGGUUCCUUGCCUAUAUAUGUACAUGGCUAUUGCCCUCCAUAAUCAAUACAUUCUUUUCCAGUGCCACAUACCUUCCUUCAGCCUUGUCCAGUGCGAUCAGAAGUAGUGGCGCGUGCCGAUAAGCCUUCACCGAUCGCUGUCAACAUAUUGAAUUUUUGCAUAGCGCAAAAUGUACUAAUGGGUAAUGGAAUUUGGUAUCAGAAUCGAUGACAAUUAAUGUUCAUUUCACAGACCCUACUUCAGAAGUUUAAUUUAGAGCCGUAUUGAUCAAGAUCAAUACAAUUUGUGCCAUUGUGUGUUCUAUUAAAACCAAUGGGGGCUGCAAUGUGCCAAAUCGCUGUAAAAGAGCUUGGAGCUCUUCUUGGUAUGGGAAUUUUGACAUCAAACAGUGACCUAUGGGCACAUCAACGAAAGGUGAUUGCACCAAAAUUCUUCAUGGACAAGGUUAAGAUUUGCAGGCAAUGGUGAAUUUGAUGAUGGAGGCAGGAAAUGCAAUGUUGAGUUCAUGGGAAAAUAAAGUUGACAGUGAAGGAGGUAGUGCAGAGAUGGUGGUUGAUGAGUUCCUGAGAAACUUUUCAGCUGACGUCAUCUCGAGAGCUUCAUUUGGAAGCAGUUUUUUCUGAAGGGAAAGAGAUAUUCAACAAGAUUAGACAACUUCGGAUGGCAAUGGCAAAACAAAAUAUGCUUAUUGGUGCUCUCUUGGGCUAUUAUUCUGUAUGUUAAAGUAGCAUGUUUGUCUUGGGGUGGCAAAUUAUGGUAGCACUGCAACUCAUUAGAAAAACUGGAGGCUUUUUGAGGGAAUACUAUUAUGCUUUCAAGGAAUGGAAAUUCAGGAAAUUUGGAGCAAAGUAUUCUUUUCAUCCUGACAUAA